CCUACGGGAGGCAGCAGUAGGGGAUAUUGGACAAUGAGGGAAACCCUGAUCCAGCGACGCCGCGUGAGUGAAGAAGGAUCUCGGUAUGUAAAGCUCUGUCAGCAGGGAAGAAGAAAUGCCGUUGCCUGAGUCCGCAGCCCCGGCUAACUACGUGCCAGCAGCCGCGGUAAUACGUAGGGGGCAAGCGUUAUCCGGAAUUACUGGGCGUAAAGGGAGCGUAGACGGUGGUGUAAGUCUGGAGUGAAAGGCGGGGGCCCAACCCCCGGACUGCUCUGGGAACAAUGUGAUUGGAGGGGAGGAGAGGUGAGCGGAAUCCCUAGUGUAGCGGUGAAAUGCGUAGAUAUUAGGAGGAACACCAGUGGCGAAAGAGGUUAACUGGACUGUAACUGACGUUAGGCUCGAAAGCGUGGGGAGCAAACAGGAUUAGAUACCCUUGUAGUC
rnacentral:rRNA from 1 species